UACGUAGGGGGCAAGCGUUGUCCGGAUUUAUUGGGCGUAAAGGGCGCGUAGGCGGCGCGACAAGUCACUUGUGAAAUCUCUGAGCUUAACUCAGAACGGCCAAGUGAAACUGUUGUGCUAGAGUGCAGAAGGGGCAAUCGGAAUUCUUGGUGUAGCGGUGAAAUGCGUAGAUAUCAAGAGGAACACCUGAGGUGAAGACGGGUUGCUGGGCUGACACUGACGCUGAAGCGCGAAAGCCAGGGGAGCAAACGGG
rnacentral:rRNA from 1 species